rnacentral:rRNA from 1 species
UACAGAGGUCUCAAGCGUUGUUCGGAAUCACUGGGCGUAAAGGGUGCGUAGGCCGCACGGAAAGUCAGAGGUGAAAUCCCGGAGCUCAACUCCGGAAUUGCCUCCGAUACUCCCGUGCUUGAGGACUGGAGAGGAGUCUGGAAUUCACAGUGGAGCAGUGAAAUGCGUAGAUAUCAAGUGGAACACCAGUGGCGAAGGCGAGUCCCUGGACAACUCCUGACACUGAGGCACGAAAGCUAGGGGAGCAAACAGG